rnacentral:rRNA from 1 species
GAGACUCUGUGCGCGUGCAUAUCAAUAAGCGGAGGAAAAGAAACUAACAAGGAUUCCCUUAGUAACGGCGAGUGAAGUGGGAAGAGCUCAAAUUUGAAAUCUUCAAGGUUCUACCUUGACGAAUUGUAGUUUAUAGAAGUGUUUUCUGUUAGUAGAGUGGCAAAAGUUCUUUGGAAUAGGACAUCAUAGAGGGUGAGAAUCCCGUAUUUGACCGUUACUUUCCAGCUGUGUGAUACACUUUCAAAGAGUCGGAUUGUUUGGGAAUGCAGUCCAAAAUGGGUGGUAAAUUUCAUCUAAAGCUAAAUAUUGGCGAGAGACCGAUAGCGAACAAGUACCGUGAGGGAAAGAUGAAAAGAACUUUGAAAAGAGAGUUAAACAGUACGUGAAAUUGUCAAAAGGGAAGCGUUUGACACCAGUGUUGUUUAGUUGAAAAUCAAUUCAAUAAUUUUUGAUUUUAAGUAGUAUUGACUUCAUCAGCUUGCUGCUUUCUUUUCAGGAAUUAUUGAAUGCACUUUUCAGUUAACAAGUCAACAUCAAUUUCUUUUGUUGUAAAAGGGUAAGAGGAAGGUGGCUUACGCUUCGGCGUAAGUGUUUAUAGCCUUUUACCUCUGCAAUCGGAGAGAUUGAGGACAGCAGCGUAGACUCUUCGGGGUUAGAUACACUUGUGCUAAGCUAUAGCCUUGUAUAGACAACUUGUUGACUAUGCUCAGUCAUGUAGCUUACUCGCUUGUGCUAUUUUACCUACGCUUAGGAUGUUGAACUCUAUCACACACAG